rfam:Oryza rufipogon genomic scaffold, chr04
AAUAAGUGCAGUUUUGCACUGUUCAUCUCCAACGUUUGGCCAUUCAUCUUAUUUGAAAGAUUUUUUAUGAUUAGUAUUUUUGUUGUUAUUAGAUGAUAAAAUAUGAAUAGUAUUUUAUGUGCGACUAAUUUUUAACUUUUUUAUAAAUUUUUCAAAUAAGACGGAUGGUCAAACGUUGGACACGGAUAUCCAUGACUACGCUUAUU